UAAAGAAGCAUUUUCAUUGGCUGCAAUCACAAAAGCCCAGCUAUAGAUACAAAUACCCGCUACGUUUUUGUUAUUUAUUGCACUACCUUAUGUGUAACUCAAAUUGCUGAUCAGAAAUUUUACUCAUUUGUAGAUAUUAUUUUAUGAAAGAUAAAAUUAUCAAUCGUACAACAAUUAAAAUAAUAUCUAAUGUCUUGUAUCCUCUUUCAGCAGUUUUUUUCUUUCUAGUCAGGAUGGCACAAGGAAACUUUUAUUCACCCUGUUGUUUGUGUGGUGUGCUAUUAAUUCUGCGACUAGAGUUGGUGCUUCAAAAAUGGAGUCUUCAACUUCAGGAUAUACGGCUUCAGAAAGAACAACUGUACUUGCCACUUCAACCUCAGCAAAACCAGCUGCAACCUCAUCAGAUUCUUCAGGUGCAACAAUGGUUAUAACUUAUAUACAUGGAAACAACAAAUACUGCAUCCACAACCACAACUGAACAUUCCACUGCUACAGCUAAAAAGAGUGGAAACCACAACUACAGCUUCAUUAACUACAUCUACAAGAAACGAUCCAAAAACUUCAAUAGCUGUAACAUCAGAAUCCACAACUCUUACUUCAACAACAAUACCUACAUCAUCAGAAACAACUGCACCUGUAACAACAUCAACAACUACAGCUAUUGUACAACUAGUGAAAGUUCCCACAACCGCAGUUGUGAGUACAGAGACCACACCUAUUACUUCAACAACACUGCCUAUGACUUCAGAAAGUACAACAGCAGAAACCACGAAUACAGCUUCAUCAACCACAUCUACAGCAACAGACGAUACCAACAACAUCAACAGCUGUAACUUCUGAACCCACAACUCUUACUUCAACACUAAUGCCUACAUCUUCAGAAACAACUGCACCUGUAACAACAUCAACAACUACAGCAUUGUCAACUAGUGAAAUUCCCACAACCGCAGUUGUGAGUACAGAGACCACACCUAUUACUUCAACAACACUGCCUACAACUUCAGAAAGUACAACAGCAGAAACCACGAAUACAGCUUCAUCAACCACAUCUACAACAAUAAAUGAUCCAACAACAUCAGCAGCUGUAACUUCUGAACCCACAACUCUUACUUCAACAACUAUGCCUACAUCUUCAGAAACAACUGCACCUGUAACAACAUCAACAACUACAGCAUUGUCAACUAGUGAAAUUCCCACAACCGCAGUUGUGAGUACAGAGACCACACCUAUUACUUCAACAACACUGCCUAUGACAUUUACAACAACAAACGAUCCAACAACAUCAACAGCAGUAACUCCAGAAUCCACAACAUUUACUUCAACGACAUUGCCUACAACUUCAGAAAGUACAAGAGCGGAACCCAUGACUACAGCUUCAUCAACCACAUCUACAACAACAAACGAUCCAACAACAUCAAGAGCUGUAACUUCAGAAUUCACAAAUCUUACUCAACGAACUAUGGUUACAUCUUCAGAAACAACUGCACCUAUAACAACAUCAGUAACUACAACACACUCAACUACUGAAAGUCCCACAAGCACAGUUGUGAGUACAGAAACCACAACUAUUACUUCAACAACAAUGCCUACAACUUCAGAAAGUACAACAAUAGAAACCACAACUACAGCUUCAUCAACCACAUCUACAACAACAAACGAUCCAACAACAUCAACAGCUGUAACUUCUGAACCCACAACUCUUACUUCAACAACUAUGCCUACAUCUUCAGAAACAACUGCACCUGUAACAACAUCAGUAAAUACAGCAUCAUCAACUACUGAAAUUCCCACCACCACAGUUGUGAGGACCGAAAACACACCCAUUACUUCAACAACACUGCCUACAACUUCAGAAAGUACAACAGCAGAGACCACAACUACAGCUUCAUCAACCACAUCUACAACAAUAAAUGAUCCACCAACAUCAGCAGCUGUAACUUCUGAACCCACAACUCUUACUUCAACAACCAUGCCUACAUCUUCAGAUACAACUGCACCUGUAACAACAUCAGUAACUACAGCUUCCACAUCUACUGAAAUUCCCACAACCGCAGUUGUGAGUACAGAGACCACACCUAUUACUUCAACAACACUGCCUACAACUUCAGAAAGUACAACAGUGGAAAUCACGACUAAAGCUUCAUCAACCACGUCUACAACAACAAACGAUCCAACAACAUCAACAGCUGUAACUUCAGAAUCCACAACUCUUACUUCAACAACUAUGCCUACAUCUUCAGAAACAACUGCACCUGUAACAACAGCAGUAACUACAGCACACUCAACUACUGAAAGUCCCACAAGCACAGUUGUGAGGACUGAAACCACAACUAUUACUUCAACAACACUGCCUGUGACUUCAGAAAGAACAACAGCAGAGACCACAACUACAGCUUCAUCAACCACAUCUACAACAACAAACGAUCCAACAACAUCAACACCAGUAACUCCAGAAUCCACAACAUUUAUUUCAACAACAUUGCCUACAACUUCAGAAAGUAUAAGAUCGGAACCUACGACUAACAGCUUCAUCAACCACAUCUACCACAAUAAAUGAUCCAACAACAUCAGCAGCUGUAACUUCUGAACCCACAACUCUAACUUCAACAACUAUGCCUACAACUUCAGAAAGUACAACAGUGGAAACCACGUCUACAGCUUCAUCAACCACAUUUACAACAACAAACGAUCCAACAACAUCAACAGCAGUAACUCCAGAAUCCACAACAUUUACUUCAACGACAUUGCCUACAACUUCAGAAAGUACAAGAGCGGAACCCAUGACUACAGCUUCAUCAACCACAUCUACAACAACAAACGAUCCAACAACAUCAAGAGCUGUAACUUCAGAAUUCACAAAUCUUACUUCAACAACUAUGGUUACAUCUUCAGAAACAACUGCACCUAUAACAACAUCAGUAACUACAGCACACUCAACUACUGAAAGUCCCACAAGCACAGUUGUGAGUACAGAAACCACAACUAUUACUUCAACAACAAUGCCUACAACUUCAGAAAGUACAACAGCAGGAUCCAACAACAUCAAGAGCUGUAACUUCAGAAUUCACAAAUCUUACUUCAACAACUAUGGUUACAUCUUCAGAAACAACUGCACCUAUAACAACAUCAGUAACUACAGCACACUCAGUGGGCCUAUUAGAUUGGAAGCUAUAAACUCUGGGCAGUGUAUCUCUCUCUCUCUCUCUCUCAUCAGACAUUAGCACACAUUCAAGCUGCCAGCUCACGCUGUCUCUGGGCAGAAGUGACCAGACUCUGGAUUUUCACGGUAUUUUGUGUGACUGUGAUUGACUGUUAAUGACGACUUGCAACAAUGAUGACCUAAGCUCAUGUAAAUUCAAUUAAAAACAGGGAUUCGAUUAAAUUAUAAUGUAAGUUUCGUCUAAUGUGAUAAGCAGGAUUAGUAUAAUCAUCUAAGGUGGACCUAAACACCUGCCUACCUUU
rnacentral:lncRNA from 1 species